AUGGCACCAUCCUGUGCCCCACCUGGUGACCUCAGCAAGUUAAAGCCAGGAGACAUGAACUUGGCACAUCUGACAUCUAGCAGGUUGGGAGCCAUAUGUCUCCUCUAUCAUUUUGGAGGCCCUGGUGAGAUAAUUAGAAGGAGUGCUGGGACCACAUCCAAGGCCUCAUGUAUGCCAGGCAAGCUCUGGGCACCAUGCCACACCUUGGCCAGCUUUAUGUUAUGGCCCCAAAUGGGAACAACUCAGAUGUCUUUACUGACUGAAUGGUUAAACGCAUGGUAUGGCAGCAUGCUCACCUCCCGGAGUCCUGUUCAGGAGUGAAAAGGAGUCAGCCAUUGGUACAGGCAUGGCGUAUCUCACAGACGUGAAGCUCAGAGAUAGAAAGUUAAGACAGAUAGGGCAUGGUCCUGAAGAACUGACCUGAAGUAACUCAAAGUCAGGGCUCAAGCGAGUUGACACACAAAGGGCCUGUGUAAUUAGCCUGAGUAAAUGACUCUCGGGGCCUAAUAGACUGCAAAGGACAGUGAGCAGUUUCCUAAGCAAACUGGAACGGGCCUUGGGGAACUGAAAUGCAAGCAUGCUGGCCUGCUUCCUUGACAUCCACCAGCAGCACCCUGCAUAGGUCAUGGUCACUGUGCCCAGAACUGUAGAUGAGACCCUGACAUAAACACCUUCGGGUUUUCUACCUUUCAGAAACCCCCUCCCCAACACCAGGGAGGCUCUUCUUUCUUUUUAUUCUUCCUGAUAAACAUGCACUUCACCAUUCCUCACUGUUUUUCUGGGCUUCAAUCUUCUGUUGCCACAAAACAAGGACCCAAGUUGGGAGGUAUAGGGAAUUGGAAAGGGGACAUCACCAGAGACCCUUGCAGUAGGUCCUGGUCUCCUGUGAGGCAAUAAAACACAAAGCUAAUAAAAAUGAAGAAAAAAAUGAGACAGAGAGAAAGCUGGGUCUUGGGGCUGAUGAUCUACACUGCUCUGGGCAACAAAGACAAAGGCCCCCAAGGACAUCCAGUAUUUAUUGAUUACAAGAGUGGGAAGAAAGUGAGCAGUGUAUGUUUUGAAGACAUCUAAUGAUAUAGGGCCAAAAUCUGGCAAGAUGGUGCCAAGCAGGGCUGUAAGGGAGGAGACACUGCUUAUCUUGCUUAGAGAGAACAAACAGAUACUGGGACUGGGUGCAAUUAGCAAGCAACCCAUUGAGUCAGUGAGAGGCUAUAAUUCAGGGGAAAGCAUUUUAAUUUGGGUCACACUGACCUCAGAUGCAUGUAACUCAACAGAGCCCUGCUACUUCACAGACCAGGGCCUAGGUUUCCAUGGCAGCCAUUGAGGGAGGGGCUAUACUGGCCCAGUCCACCAUCUGACAUGCCCAUUUGAGUCACAUAGGGCUUCGGUCUGACUCCUGAUAUAAAAAAAUAUAGCUGAAUAUGGAAAGCAAGAAGCAUGUGCCACACAUAGCCCGCUAGCCCCCUAGUACUAGGCAGGGAUGUCUGCUAUACUACACUUGAUCUUAGCCAAAAGGCUGAGAAGCGAUAGGGAUGUCUGCUAUAGGAGGGAGCUGGUUUGAUCUCAAGAUUCUACGCUGAGAUGUUAAAAAAAAAACAAAAAAAACUAGUCUCAAUUUAAAUGGAUCUCAAGGACAUUAUGAUGAGAUGAUUUUUUUUUUUGGUACCAGGGAUCAAACUCAGGUCCUUGCACUUGCAAGACAGGCAGCAGAACCACUGAGCUAAAUCCAUGGCCUAUGCUGAGAUUUUUUAAAAAUCCUAAUGUCAAAAAGCUAUACACUGUAUGAUUCCAUUGUAGAGCAUUCUUGAAAUGAUAAAAUCCUAGAGAUAAUAAGCAGAUUAAUAGCCAAGAGUGUAGGGUAGAAAAGGAGUGGGCACAGCUCUAUAAGGGUAGAAUGGGGGAGUCAUGUAAUGGAGCUAUCCUUUUGUGGGAAAUGGUAGAAUUCAGCUAUCUAGUUCACAAGAAGUUUGUUAACUAAGAGAAUUAAGUCAUUUCUGGGAAAUUCCACAAGUCUGUUUGUUAAAAGAAUGCCAGAAAACUUUGAGACCUUGUAAAAGUCUCACAGGAGAAAAUCAGGUUUUCCUAGUUUUCUUAUUUACCAUUUUCUGGGGUCAGAGGACCUCCACCCAAUGACUCUAUGGGUGGUAAGAGAGAUACGACUCACUAUGCACAUCUGUGAUGUUUAUGGUGGGCCAGUGGGCUUGAUUUUUGGCUAAAGUCAUCCUGCUCUCUUGAUACUAUCUGAUAAGAAGAGGGCUUCGGUGUGCUCUUUGAUGUACAGGAUUGGUGAACGGAAACAGGGGACUUGUGAAUUCGCCUGUAGCUUUUAUGAGUCACUUAAAGUCACUGGUUAUCAUCAGAGGUGAAAAUCAGAAAGACAAUAACCAGAAUAACUAAGCU
rnacentral:lncRNA from 1 species